rnacentral:rRNA from 1 species
GUAUAAGAGACAGCAGCAGCCACGGGAAUACAGAGGUCUCAAGCGUUGUUCGGAUUCAUUGGGCGUAAAGGGUGCGUAGGCGGUUUGAUAAGUCUUGUGUGAAAUCUAUGGGCUCAACCCAUAGUCUGCACAGGAAACUGUCGGGCUUGAGAGUGGGAGAGGUGAGUGGAAUUUCCGGUGUAGCGGUGAAAUGCGUAGAUAUCGGAAGGAACACCUGUGGCGAAAGCGGCUCGCUGGACCAUUUCUGACGCUGAUGCACGAAAGCUAGGGGAGCAAACAGGAUUAGAUACCCCCGUAGUCCCUGUCUCUUAUAC